rnacentral:rRNA from 1 species
GAUGAACGCUGGCGGCGUGCCUAACACAUGCAAGUCGAGCGUUAUUUAUGAGGACGAAACUUCGGUCUAGGAAUCAUAAUGAAAGCGGCGGACGGGUGAGUAACGCGUAGGCAACCUGCCCUUGACACAGGGAUAGCCUCGGGAAACCGGGAUUAAAACCUGAUGACGCCAAACAGUCACAUGGCUGUUUGGCCAAAGAUUUAUCGGUCAAGGAUGGGCCUGCGUCUGAUUAGUUAGUUGGUGGGGUAACGGCCUACCAAGACGACGAUCAGUAGCCGACCUGAGAGGGUGAUCGGCCACAUUGGAACUGAGACACGGUCCAAACUCCUACGGGAGGCAGCAGUGGGGAAUAUUGCACAAUGGGCGAAAGCCUGAUGCAGCAACGCCGCGUGAGCGAUGAAGGCCUUUGGGUCGUAAAGCUCUGUCCUUGGGGAAGAAACAAAUGACGGUACCCAAGGAGGAAGCCCCGGCUAACUACGUGCCAGCAGCCGCAGUAACAC